UACGUAGGGGGCAAGCGUUAUCCGGAAUCAUUGGGCGUAAAGGGUGCGUAGGCGGCCCUAUGGGUCAGAGGUUAAAGGCUACGGCUUAACCGUAGUAAGCCUUUGAAACUGUAGGGCUUGAGUGCAGGAGAGGAGAGUGGAAUUCCUAGUGUAGCGGUGAAAUGCGUAGAUAUUAGGAGGAACACCAGUGGCGAAGGCGACUCUCUGGACUGCAACUGACGCUGAGGCACGAAAGCGUGGGUAGCGAACAGG
rnacentral:rRNA from 1 species